GACAGCGCGAGAGAGGUCAAAGGAGUCGUCGAUCUGUCGGGGAGGGCGAGCCGGGGGAGGAGGCGACGAACGAACAGAAAUGGGUCAGGGUCCGAUACUGUGUACCACGUAUUUAUAAACUCCACGCUACAGCCGCUGCUGCUGAUAUUUUCCUUUUCCUCUUGAGCUGGUGUUUUCGUUUUAUACUCUACCGACCUGUUUGUUUGUCCUUCUAUUUCAGUUUUUUUGCAUCUGGCAAUCUUAAAAGCAUCUUUUCUGUUUACACGUGAAGCUGAGAGGCACCUCCGAACAUGCUAAACACUGUUUACACAUGAAGCUGAGAAGCACCUUCGGACGUGCUAAACAGAAAAAGUGCUUUUGAGAUUGCUAAAAGUACCAAAAACUGAAACAGAAGUCCAAACAAAUAGGCCCAGAGUCUGCUGGAUUGUGAAUUUGAAUACGCACACGGCGAAAUCAAAAUACGAAGUCAUGGCCACUAUGUUUAAAAUAAAAUUCGUGUACUUGGACAAAACAGAAGUUGUUCGGUGAAUAAAAAAACCCUAGAAAUGAUUUUCCGACGUAAUAAACGGUAUAAUAGUACUACUAGUAGUACGAGGGCUGCUGCAGCGGAGAUUAAAAAAAAACGGUGUUCGUUUUAGGUGAGCCAGGGAGAGCAUCUCUCCACGCGAAGGGAGCACACAAUUUAUGCAUGUGCAGAGAGAGAGAGCACGGAGAAGAACAACCUUUGGGUUUGCCUAAUUGCAACGGCCAACUUGUGACUUUGUGUUGUGCGCGCUCGUCGUGGAAGGAUCUCAGGCGAAAAGGAAGGUGGGGGAAAGCUCGAUUAUUCUCCGCAGCUUCAAUCCCACGCUAAGCCGCCUGGUCGAAAAGGUUUGGCUGGCCAAACCGGUUUUGCAUGGUACUCCGUAACAUGUUUUUCAAGUUUUUUAGAACUUUGGAGGAACUCGAAACAAAUUGAGAGCAUACGCUUUCUAAGAGUUGAAAAGUAUUAUUUUCGAAGCACGGGCAGUCGGGCACGGGCAUCAGAGCAUCUCCGUUGCCAGUCGCUCGAAGCGAAGAGAAAUCACGCACUUCCUCUGCUACCGAAGCGAAGGCAGGAACAAGAACAACAGCGACGAGACACAGCCAGAAAUUCGGCAUAGUAUUUGCUCAGGGCUAGAUUCCACUGUAUUCGCUGUAAUCUGGUAAAGCAUGUCGCAUGUGCCCAGACUACAGGAGGAUUUCAAGACAAGUAUCCAGUCCUGUCUUAUUUACAACAGAUAGCGUGCAAAACUAUGCUCAAGAAUCAAGAUAGAUAAAUAACACUGGAUUUCCCCAGUACUUGCUACUUCACCGAACUACGGAGUACAACUGGUAAAGAAUAGUUUCACAAGUCGGAUCCUGAGAUCACAAUGAAAGAGAAGAUACAACAGGGAGUAUUAAAUCUGCACAUGAUCACAAGGAAAUCCAGAUGCACAUGAAUCCAGACAAUAGGAAGAACAGGGAACAGUUUGACAUAUUUUUUCUAAUAAAACAGAAGGUCAGAGUUGCAUGCCUACAUUGUCAACAAAAUAAUAGAUGAAUUGCACGAACAUACCUCAACGACUCAAUGUCAACAUGGAUUUACACUAACAAUUUUUAGUCUUUGACCUUUCAUACUCUUCAGAAUUAAUUAUUACCAGACUAAAAACUACAAUGCACCUAAGAACACGAGCUUUCGCUUCAGAAUAUCCCAAGGAUGGUGGGGGCAGGUGGAGCACGCCAUCAUUGGAGAGCAAGAGCAACGCCAUGUCAUUAACUGAUCAUCUUCAAAUGAUAAUCUGUAGAAGAGACAAUGGACAAGAGUCAAUUGAUCGCUUCACCAAACAGUAACAUUACAAAUUUGCUAUACAGGCUCCAAACAAACUGAUUUUCUAUCAGUCUACGCUUAAACAUAGCAGUUAACAGGGGCAAAGCUUAACACAGGCCCAUCAGCAAUCAUGCAGAGAACAAGGCAAGGCAGAUCAUCCAUGGGAAUCACACAACAAUCCACAAGGAAGCAUGCAUUACAUUCUUUGGAAAGCCAAUCAAGAGAAAUCUGGGUUCAGCGAUCGGAAAGAUUUACAAUGGAUAAGAUAUGUCAAAAUUUCAGUACUGGAAACUUCAGUUACAAAGCAAUUUGAUAAAUCUUACAUGCCAAGACAAGUAUAGAAGAUAUAUCUUUAUAUAAUAAUACUGACUCGUAAUUGUUAGGCUUACAGCAAAAAAAAGGUUAAGUUUCAUUAAACAAGCUUAUUUAUCGGUCUCUGAGGAGCUGGGUUACCUGUAGAUAAAUGGGACCAGAAACUAAGAGGUUACCUGUUGACUCAAGCUUAUGCUUAUUUUGGCGAUACACGUACUCUUAGGCUGGACAUAAUUCACCCUAACGAUUCUCACUAAGACAUGAGAAAGGAAUUCUAGUACGGAAAGGAAGUGAAAACCAGCGCAUGUGCAUCCAAGUGACUCCUAGUGAAACAGCACAGAGAGUGUCCCAGAUCGAUUUUAACUCUGAGUCACCAAGUGGUUCGUCGGUAUCAAUUUGAUCCUAACAGAUUCCAGGCAAUACCAUCAUAUGUCACCCAGUCAUGAUUUCCAGGAAAAGAAUAUAAGUAUUUUCAUCAUACAGACAGAAUUGAAGAAAAACUAUUAUUAGACCAUACAUUAUGGUCUUUCAUUUGUCAUGACAAAAAUGUACUCCCUCCGAUCCAUAAAAGGUGACGCCCAUUUUGUACUAAGUUAGCACAAAUUUUGUACUAGGUGGGCGACACAUUUUAUGGAUCGGAGGGAGUAAUAAGAAACACUAAAAGCUCAAGAUAGAAACUAUGAUUAGUUAGUUCAAUCUUUUAAUAACACCUAUGACAUAACAGAGCUGCACAAUUAUAAUUCUGUAAAUUUUAUCACACCCAAAAACCCAGAGAACCAAACGAUAAGAUACAUAAGUACUUAAAUCUACAAUCAUAACGAGAUGGUCAACAUAUCUCAUCAAUGCACAAAAUUAAAUAGAAAAACACACGACGAAAACAUCCACCAAACAUUAUCUACUGAAGACACAAAAUAUAAAUAGAAUCUCACAAAGCCUACACCAGGAUAGAUCUUAUAUGUGAAUAUCAAUGCUCAACAGGACCGAAAGCCUUAUUUAUGAAGGUUAUCGCACAUUUGGGCUAAGGCCAUUGUAACAUAAAAUAGUCCAAAAUGCACAACAUAUGGGGUGGUCGGACUUCGGCAACGAAACUUCAGACAUACUCGCUAGAUUUUCCGAAGCAACAGUAUCUAAACUUUUUUGUUGCUAAUCCUCCGCAGCAACUCGAGCCAAUUGUUUACCAAGAUCCUUAUCGAGAUUAGCUAGAUUAUUAAACCUUGACUGUAGAUAAACGGACAUGUAUGUAACAUAUUGCUCAGAACAAUCAAGUCGGGCUCACCCAAGCUUGUUUACACCCAUAUGAAGGAAAGGCUUAUUGAAUUGCAUUGUCAGGAAAUCAGCACUUCCCCAAACAAACUGAAAGUACCUUUAUUCCACAACCUAUAAACAUCAAUGGAUAUACUCAGAACACAACAGCUUACAUGUGUGGACCUUCCCACCAUUAAGGCCAAACAUAGUAACAAUAAGUUCCACUUAUUAAAAUGUCAUUGUAUACAAGAAUGUCAGAUUAAAUUAUGCCUCUACACAAGCAUACCAAUCCUGUCACUAUCACUGAAAGUCUGAAACAUUAACUAACAGCCAACAUCAUGCCACAUAACUUGUAAUUUUAGCACAUCAACAUUAGCAUUACAGAAACAAUAGUAGCCACAGAUCACAUAAACGAACAAAAACAAUCUACAGCAAUGUUCUAAACUGAAAUGCUAAAACAUACUUUACCUAAAACCCUCGUCCGCAUCAGAGGUAAUUGGAGUUGGAAAGGAAAGGCAGCGCAGCAACGGAUGAAAUCAGCUCCACUCCACCAGCACCAUUGGAUGCAGCCCCUCCGCUCUUCUUCGUGCGCUUCACCCUUGCGAGCUUCACGUGCGCAUCGACGAAGUUCUCCAUGCGCUUCACCUCCAGCUGCUUCAGGAAGUCAAUUCGCUCGCGUUCCAUCUCUAGCGAAUGCUUUUGUUUCGCACUCUCCACGCGCUCAUACAUCUCUGCAAAAGCCUCAAUUGCCCUCGCCAGCUCGCUGACACCACUAUCCCCAUCACCGCCAGCCUCGCGACGAAAGGGACGCUUGUUGCUACCGCCGGAGCGCGCCGACGAGACAGAACGCGACGGUGACCUCCGCAAGUUGUCAUGGUGGUUGUUGUUGUUGUUACCACCAGGAUGAUCACCAGAGUCCUCCGAAUCAGACACCGCUGCAGCGGCGGCAGCGGCUUCCUGCUGGAUGAACGCAGCGGCAGGGAGCAGCGCCCCGCGGCGGUAGCUGGGGAGGGGCAGAGCCAUGGGCGGGGGCGGGGACGGCGAGGAAGAAGGCGACGGGUACUUCCUCGCGGCGGUAGAAGAAGGAUGGACGGGCAGGGCGAGGUGCGGGGCCAUCGCCGGCGAGGGCCGCUUGUUGGCGGCGGAGUUGAGGGUGGGGCCGACGAGUCGGUCGAGCUCGUCGAAGAAGCUCCAGCCCGACGGCGCGCCGCGGACGCGCUCGGCCUUGUACUUCUUCUUGAGGGUGUCGACGCGGUUCUUGCACUGCACGUCGGUGCGCGGCGGGCGGCGGCGCGCGGCGGCCCCGCGGCGCGAGUUGACGGCGUUGGCCACCUCCUGCCACUGCUUCUGGCGCAGGUUGCCGCGGUUGAGCUCCACGUAGCGGCUGCCCCACGCGUCCACCAGCGCCGCCGUCUCGCCCUCGCUCCAGCAGUCCUCCCGGUAGGGCAGGUUAGGGUUGGGCGGCGGCAGCCUCCCAAACCCUCCCCCUCCUCCUCCUCCCCCUCCUCCCGCCGCCGCCGCAGCAGCAGCCGCAGCCAUCUCCCUCACCUCCAUCGGAACCAGAUCUCGCAGGAGCAAACCCUAACCCUAGCUAGCCCGCCCGCCGAGAGAAGAGGACCGAGCGAGCCUCGGGGAAGUCGCGCGUGACGGUGGGCUAUGUGAGCGGUGGGGGGUUCGGGGUUGGAAUAAAAGGACACGGCGAGGGAAGGGGGGAGGUGGGGUCGCCGGCCGCGAGGGGUCCGGGUUCCGUCCGUCACGCACGCGGCACGUGACGCGUGACCGGCGAGGGGGGGGCGGCAUCGGCAUGGCAUAUCUCGCUCGCUCUCGUGUGUCGUGGGUGACCGGAUUCGGAUCGGAGACGUGCCGCCGUUGGAUUGCGUUUGACCGGGUAACCGGCGAUUACUUUCGGGUUUCGGAGGGCGGGUGGGAUAAUGACAGCCAGCCAGGCACAGGCAAAGCAGAGCGCGGCGACAGGCGACAGCCGGAGACCGGACGGAAUACGGUGGCUGGCGCGGGGGUGGGAAAUUACCGCGUUGCCCCUACCCCGGGGAGCAGGCCGGGGCGGCACGCGGCAGGGGCAAGGCGGGGAUUUCGCGUGGGGCGGCGCGGUGUCAGGGGGUGAGCUGGUCGCCGUUGGUCGGUUUGCGUUUCGGGGCCGCCGAAAGAGGGGAGAGGAGAGAGAGAGAAACGCGCCGAGGAUGAUGGGGAAGGGAGAGGAGACUCGCGAACCGAAGACACCGCUGCUCCUCGCUCUGUACUCCAGUCUAGGCUUCUAGCUAGACUCGGCGCGGUGGAGUGGGUGGGUGAAGAGACUGAGGCGCGGGGCCCGCGUGCAAGCAGGCAGGGCGGGCAAUUAUUGUCGCCUCUGGUGCCGUCGCUCGGUACAGAGGACGGACGGACGGACGGCGUGGGCAAAAUUUAAUCGGCGUGCAGCAGGUGCCGGCUGCCGCCUGCAGGCGCCGGUCCUUCGGAUUGAUCGGUGGAUGGAUGCACUCGCCAAUGGCAAUUCAUCCAUCAAACAUCAUUCGUUACUGUAUAUUUUGUGGCAAAUCAAGAUUAGAGGUUCAUCAUCCGUUUACCGUUUUGGUUUGUCCCCUGGCGUCAUCAUCACCGUCUGGGCUUUGGAACUGACAAUAUGGUUCUUUCGGUGAAAUUCAGGUGAAAGUAAAACUCCACCGGUAGAUAGCAGCGGCCAUGGUGCCGUCGUGGGAACAGAGCAGUACGUACGUUACGGGCUCGCGUCAAAUCCUCGACGGAACCGUGCCCGCUGCACCGGUGGGUGAACAGAACACCAUAAAUCCCUCGCGGCCGUGGAGAGAAGUCAGGGGAACCGCGUGUACGUACGUGGUCCUCUCCUGCUAGCUAUAGCUAGGCUGCCCCGUGCGACCGGCGGCGAGGAAACGGCACGCUCGGGAGCCGUCAACAUUGAAUCGGAGGGCCGGGCGGCCGCGAUAGCGUAGCGACCAGCGAGAUACUCAGUCAGUACGGGCUACUUCGGGCUGUCACGCACGCACCGAGCCGGACGGCCGGGCCGACGCGUCGGGCUUGGGAACCACCGGCGCCGCAGGGGCGGGCUCGGACCGCGUCCAACGCCGCAGGCUUUGCAAAGCUUGCGUUGCGUGUACCCCACGCUACCACGCGGGUCCCCUCCACCAAUCAAUUCCAGGCCGGACGGACGGCCGGUACCGUGUACCGACGCGUCGCCCGCCGGAUCUCCGUGGCGUUUUCCUUUGCCUUUAGUUGUGUACCCGCCCCGCUUCACGCCGGCCUUGUGCGGCAGUUGUGUACACACACGCACGCACUUGUACUACUACUGGUGGCCUUGGACUUUGCUGGUUGCUGGUGCGCACCCAGCUUUUUGCGAACGGUUCCGGGAAACGCCGGCGGAAACUUGUGCGGCGGGUCGGUCGGUUGCCGGGGAAGGAAGGAUUCUUCACACAAGCAACGUGAGAUCUGACCAAGGGGAGCAGCAGCCAGCCAGCACGAGCAGCAGUUCGGCGCUGGAGCUACGCGCGAGCUGGGGCAGGAGCUACACGCCAUGUACGUUGCGUCCCCGGGCCGGUUUGAUUUACGACCGGAAGAGCCGCAGCGUUUCCGGCGCGAUGACCGGACAAAUUAGCCGGCUUGGCCGAUGGCUAUACUAUAUCGGAUUGGACAUAUGGAGUGAUAGUGCUCCCGACAGGUAGGAGACGGACGGACGAGAGCGAGUAAACUGCUGCCUGCGACUCUGCGAGUCCUGCCGUGCACGGCUCCAUGGACGGACCGCACGUCCAUGGCCUGUGUAGCUCCGACCGCACCGGACGCAGGCAAGCGGGACGUGCUGUUCAUCCUGCAGACGGGACUGACCCAAGUUAUUGGAGACGCGUCGGCAUUGAAGCCUUUUCCAUUCUCAGGAGCAUGACGUAAUCACGGGAUCACGCACGGCGUGGGCAAAAGAUUACCAGCCGCGCCGCGCGUGCCUGACUGCCUGUGCAGCUGUGCUAUUUUGAGUGCAGAAUACAGUUCUUCAGAACCGCGCCUGUUUUUUGAGGCUAACUGAACAUGCAGUUCCAUACAAUUUCAAAACUCUACGUAUAAUACGGAAGGGUAAAAGAUACUGAGGCGGUCGAGACCACUGUCGCGACACGCGAAGCCUGAAAUCGUAGCGGAUUUACUUUUUCUUUCUCUCGGGGCAACGUCCAGCAACAGCAAGUGACUGCUUGCCGGUUCAUCUGGCCGGACUGAAGGUGCAGAACUAUCUGCUUCCAUGACCAUGUCAUCUUACUGAACUGAUGUUGAUGUUGAUCGAACGGAAACUUGGUAUUAGUGCAAUUUGCAUUUGGUAGACGGGGGGUGGGAUGAAGAAGCUGCAGCGCAUUGGUCAGGGCAGCAGAUGGAAAACGCUGGAGACGGAGGUCAAAGAAGACGCGCGUAAAGGAACCGGUCAGAACAGUGACUUCCUUACUGGAUUUAGGUGACAGGCUGAAAAUUGUUUAUACUUUGGCACGUUGCCUGGGACACAGCAGUGGACAAGUUCGGUUCGGAGAAUUCUAUCCUCCAGUCAUGUUCCUUCUCGGUGAUUAACUAUCAGCUCAUCUGCCAAUCACAUGUUCUGUGGUGACAGCAGCCAGCAAAAAUAACCGAACGGAUUAGUGAUCGCCUAGAUUAUGUAGCUCAAUUUGCAUGCGUAGUUUCAAACGGUAUAAAACGAUGCCUUCGAAGAAAUGGGAGUAGUAAAAAACAUGUGGACUCGAUUUGGGCCGGGCCGCGAUAUCUUCGGUUCUCCACCCUCUUACGCGCAGCGUUUCUUCUCAGUGUCUGCUCAUCACUUGCGUUAGCUUGUAUUGUUUGCCUUCGCUUAAUAUUAGUGCCAUGUUAUCAUGGCUCCAUCGCCCAGUCGAACGCCGGCUAUCAGUUCAAAUUAUGGAUAGUCUAUUGGCUUUGAAUAAUGCGUGUCCUUGCUCUGAUUCCGUUGAGUGUCAUUCCAAGAGUAGGUAUCUAUCAGAAGAAUUUUCAGCAAAUGUCAGUGCUGCUUGAAGUCAACGAGUACUAAUCACAACAUGUGUGAACAUUUGCCAUCCUCCUGCGGUGCACUCUGACCUGCAUUGGAGAGCUGUAUUGCAGCCUGAAGGUCUUCUUCUCUAUUCUACUUCUACAUAUCUACCCACGUGUAUAUGCAGUAUCCUCCGAUGGUUUAGCCCAUGGGCAAUGCAGUUGUCUGCUUCAAUUCUUGGUGUUUCAGAACUAGUAGUACUACUAGAUAUGAUCAGUAUGCUGGGGACAGGACAGUAUGAAUGUACGAUAGAUAAGGUCCUAGAACAUGGGCCACAGGUUAUGCAGAUCGCAGACACGAGUGUUUGGCUGGAACUGAUCUCCGAAUGCGAGACUCCGAGAAACGUUGAUGCCGCUUUCUGUCGAUCACCUUGAGCCAUUGUCCGUCUGCUGGCCUGGCAGGGAAAGUCUACGGAAUGCCAUCUCGAAAGCCAUGGAAAUUCUGUUUUGCCUGACAGAACUCUGGCGUACAUGAGCAACAGCGACCGGAGCGUGGUUUGCCUGCGUGCUUGACUGUAUGGUCACGACGAACACGAGGUGGCGACCAUCCGCCGCGUUAUCCAGGACUGCACCCGUCAGAGAAGGAUCCUUCACUUUUUGGGAAUCCAAUCACUUCGGGAUCCAUCAGAGCAGAAGACACGGCCAUUUCGCCGGCGGCUUUCCCCAUACAGUGCACAUCUCGUGAACUUCCGUCCAUAUUUUCUGGCCAAAUUUGCAAAGGAUUUGUGCUUUUCAGAGUGCAGCAAACGUAGCAAUACCAGGAAACUACGGAGUAGAAUAGGAAGGAACGUACGCCUGUUUGUUCGGGCGGCAAAGUCAGAGCGACACUCUCUCUACUUUGUUUGUUCGUCAGGCCAGGACGCCCGCCAAACCCGACAUGGAUAACUCCAUUAUUGACGAUGGAAAGUAGAAAUCUGACCCCGGGGGCACUAGCAGACGACACUAUCCACAUUGUCUUCACACACCGAGAAUAUGACAAAAUAACAUGCAUUCUUAAUUCACCUAUCGUCCCCAGUACACACCAUCAGAAAACAUCUUCGAUCUUCUAAGGCGUGGAUGCAUUAGGGGUGCGUAUAAAAAUAAUCAUACUCCUUCCGAUACAUAAAAAGUUUCCCACAUUUAGUACAAAAUAUGUACUCCCUCCGUCGAACAAAGGAUGUUUCAACUUUGAUUAAAUUUGAAUGCAUCUAUACACUAAGUCAUGUCUAGAUACAUUUAAAUUUUGACAAACUUGAGACAUCUUUUGUUGGACGGAGGGAGUACUAAUUUUAGUACAAAAUGUGUGACACUUUUUAUGAAUGGGGGGAGUAUCUCCUAGACUCUUUUGAUUCAAAUGAGUUAAUCCUUCAGAAUUUUUUCUAUGUAGGCUUAUUUCAUUCGUAGGAUUAGAUUUUAGUGGAAAUUUGCCUAUGGUUCACUUUGCACUGCAGUGAUGCAAACCAGAUUCCGCGAAAACCCACUUCUAGUUCAUUUUUCAAAUCUUCAAUUCAAAUUUUGAGCAAAAAUUUGGAUAAAAGACUUGAGAAUUGAACUAAAAGUUGACCAUCAAUGGGAUCCCGUUUGCAUCUCUACUGCUCUCAAUUCCAAAGUAAAUUUUCCAUCUAAAUCUAAUCACUUGAAAAAAUUCCUUUGUUUCCAUGAUAACUAUACCAAUGCACGUAAUGUUUUUCUCUGUUUUUCCUCUAAUGCUAGAUUGAGUCUGUUUUUCCUUUAAUGUUUUUCCAACUCGAUUAGUUUAUUCAGGUGGUUUCUUCCUGUAGAAAACAACAUAUCAUGACAUUUCAAUCUUGUGUUUGCUAUUUCAGGGCUCAUUCACUCUACAUGCGUUUUAGAUGAUUUUUCUACAAGAUUUCAACUCUUACACCUUGUUUGGCACAUGUGGGUUUCUUACGUUUUCUAUUUCUACUCUACAAUCUUAAAAUCAUGUUCUCCUUCUGACCUUUGUUCUCAAAUUUAUCUAAAUACGGAUGUAUCUAUGUUUAAAAAAUGUCUAUAUAUAUUUAUAAUAUUUCAGUAACUAAUAUGAAUCGGAGCAACUAACUCGAACGAGCCCUCGGUGUUUGAAUAUUUAAAUACUCCUGAAUGCAAGUAUAGUUCUGCACUCCUACUGCAGCUUGCUACCACGAAACUAAACAUUUCUCUUUCUGCAGCCCCCGACUCGAUCUAGCCGCAGUCCAUGUCGUUCUUUUCGCCCUGGCGUGUGCAAGAGUCGAACCCAUAGUGUGAACAAUUGAGUUAGGCACGAGCCGGAGAGGAGGAGAAAGGACAAAUUAUUGCUCAGAUUAAUCAUCACCUCGAUCGUUGCGGCGCAAUACCGUUAUAUAACGACGGAAUACGGGCCCACACGUCAGUGUAAAGCGAGCUGCUUGCCGCUUUCUCCCUCUUGCGUGACGCCGUCGCCGUCCAGAGCCAUCUGGCCACCGGGCUCCCAGCCCCCCACAGAUGUGCCCCCUGCAUGCGCGCCAUGUAUCAGCCUCUGAUACGUCAGGCCAGGAACCAUCCUCAGCCGUCAGUUCGUCCAUCUCGACGGCUGCGAUCGCGCUGCCGCCACUUAUAAAUAGCACCGAUGCACGCGCGAGAAAGUCCGUUUUACCUUGCUGGGGGGGGGGGGUUUUACUUACAUGAGCGCGGGAAUGGAGGCGGAGCUGGAGGCGGCUCAGCGGCGCUUCCGGCUCUGGUUCCGCGGGCUGCGUUCCCUGCGGCGGGACCUCCGGUCGGCCCGCUGGGCCGGCGACGACCCGGCCCAGCUGGGGAAGCUGGCGGGCGGCUUCGUGGCCCACUUCUCCGACUACUGCGCCGCGCGGGCCGAGCUGGACCCGGUCCUGCUGCUGUCGGCGCCCUGGGCGAGCCCCGCGGAGCGUGGCGCCGCCUACUGGCUGGCCGGGUGGCGGCCGACCACGGUGGUCCACCUGCUGUACACCGAGUCCAGCCGCCGGUUCGAGGCGCAGCUCCCUGACCUGCUCCUGGGCGUGCGGUCGGGCAACCUGGGCGACCUCAGCCCGGCCCAGCUGGCCCAGAUCGACGAGCUCCAGCGCCGCGCCGUCGCCGAGGAAGACGCGCUCUCAAGGGAGAUGGCGCGGCUGCAGGAGGGCCACGGCGUCGUUGGCGGAGACGGGGAUCUGGACGUGGAGGGGAUCGUGAGGCGCGCCGGGGCCGUGGUGGCAGGGGCCGACGCGCUGCGGCUGCGCACCUUGAAGCGCGCCGUGGAGAUCCUCGAGCCGGCGCAGGCCGCCGAGCUGCUCGUCGCCAUGGCCGACAUGGAGAUCGGCUUCCGGGAGUUCGGGCUAAAGCACGGCGACGGCGGUGGCGAGCCGAGCCGCGGCGCGUAGGCAUAGGCGUGGCGCGGUCCAGAGAGCAGAUCCUCAUCCGCAUCGGCGGCUCGGCCCAGUUUUUUUCUUCCAAGUGUUUGCGCUGGUUUGACUGGGACAGAAAGACUGCUCACUGUUGUAAUCUUGUUGCCGUGACGAUUGUCUUUGCCGAACUGUCUCGCGGUGGGUGCUGCGUCGUAGCUGGACCGUGUGCGUGUGCGUGUGCGUGCGCGUGCGCCUGCUGGGAUGUCGUGUGAGAAAGCAAUAAAAUGCAAGGAAUGCAUGCUUGGUUUCGUUGAGAAGUCAUAUUUUGUUUUCGAGCAAGCGGUUUUUUUAACAUCUUUUCCGAUAAAUUGGCUGUUUGUCUGUUCACUACAGAAGACCCGUCCUUUUAAAAACGGUUUUGCUAUUAAUAAAUCCAUGUUUUAGUUAGAGUAGUCAUAGGAUUUUAAUCCAAUGAUAGCAAGUGAGAGAUGAGAGAACGAGGAUGACUCUCAGAUCUCCAGCAGUUAUGAAACGUCGACUGAUAUUUAAGGUUCAUUUUUUAAAAACUUGCGACUUAGAAAUAGCCAUACCCAUUUAAAAAACGUGUUAAAUCUUAUUAAAAUAAGAUUCUGAUCGAUAACUUAUUUUUAAUAGGUAUUGCUACGGAAAAGUUGUUUUUCUAGUUAAAGAUAAGUUGAAACACCAACUGUCAUAUCUUGAUCCAACGGCGGCACAUUGAAGAUGGGGUGUAGCUGCUAGCUUCGGCAUUGAAGAUGGCGUCAUGGUAGGGAGAAGCUAUCAAGUUAUCCGAGAUAGAGGAGGCACUGAUGGAACACAUCCGCUUGCUAGGCUUGUAAUCGGACAAAUAAUUCAAACAGCUUUGCUAUUCAUAAGACAAUUGAGAAAUAAUUAUUUUCAAGCCGACGCUAACAAUCGUUUAAUCCAAUCUCUGAUAUGUGUGAGAUCUAUACAAGUGUUGUUGACUGAAAAUAACUGCUUCCUCCGCGCCUGGAUACUCGUCGUGGUCCGGAAAUCCAACCAGUUGUUCGUUCGAGCCAGAUCCAAACGACACCGGACAGACAACCACGGGCGGUUCUACCGUGCCGCACGGUCACGCGCCCAAUUAACCGGCCACACGGCCAAGCGAAUCCAGGAUUAAAAAUAGGAAUCGCGUACAAUUACCGGCCACCCAGCCAGGCAGCCCGCAACGAUAAACCAGCAGUCUCCCGCUCCAUGUUUGGGAGCCAUGCCCAACUACAAACCCAACGUUUCCAAGCUGGCCGCCGCGCCCCGCGACAUCCACACGGCAGAUUAACCCUUCUUCUCCUUUCCUUCCUUCCUCCCUCUCCGCGCGCGCGCGACCUCCCGCAGACCCGCCUCCGCGAAUCUAGCCACCCCCGCGCGUGCGCCACGCACCGUCCGUCCGUCGGACCUCGGCCGGGCCGGCCCGCGGUCGUCGGCGCGCGGAGGGCGUUCGUGAGAAUGCGUGCGGCGGCGAUUGGUUGCUAGCUAGCUAGCGGCAUGCCUGGCAUGAGCGCGUGAUGGCGCCGCCGUUCCUGAAGACCGGGCACGGCCGCGACAGGUUCUCCUUCAGGCGGCGGAAAUCGUCCUCCUCCUCGUCCUCCUCGUCGACGCCGUCUUCUCCGCUCUCGGUGUCGUCCACAGCGUCGGAGGACAUCGCCGACCCGGGCAGCCCCAUGGAGUCGUCAGCGACGACGGGCAAGACGCUGCCCUGCGCCCGGCGGGCGCUCUCGCGGAGCAGCUGCGGGUCCAGGGGCAAGCUGUCCGUCGACCUGAUCCCGCCGCCGCUCGCCGGCGGCCCGUCCGACGCGCCCAGGUCCUCCACCUCCGCCGCGCCGCCCCCCAAGCCUCCCCCCCGCAACGAGGGCCCGCCUUCAGGUCUCACCAUUGUUAAUUUUCUAGUGUCUGUCUGACUUUCUGUCGUCAAAUGCAGAGAAAUGCCUUGUUAUGUUUUCGUGAUCGAUUGCAUGUAUCCAGAUGCUGACAUCGUGAGGGACAAGUUCUCCAAGCUGCUGCUGGGGGAGGACAUGUCCGGCACCGGCAAAGGGGUGUCCUCUGCCCUCGCUCUCUCCAACGCCAUCACCAAUCUUGCAGGUAAUCUCUCCCUUACCUUCCAUUUCCGAUCUUUCCAUUUCCAAUAACAGUCCCUGUCUUUCAAAUCUUCCCAUUCUGUCCGUUGGGUUCUGAUGGAUACUGACACGAUCAGCUAUGAUUUCUUUCUCAUGACGUGGCACAUUGCAGCUUCCGUGUUCGGUGAGCAGCGGCGUCUCCAGCCGAUGGCCGCAGAGCCGAAGGCCCGAUGGACAAAAGAAAUUGACUGGCUUCUGUCCGUUGCCGACCACAUCGUCGAAUUCGUUCCUUCACGUCAGGUGUCCGAGGAUGGCUCCACCAUGGAGGUCAGAAACAAGAGGAUCCUUGCUUAUCACAAGUACCUGGAUGUAGUUCUGUAUCACGGAACAUCUUUAUGCAAAUCCAAUUACAGCGGUGCUAUUUUUCUCUCUCUCCCCCCAAACAGAUAAUGAUGACUCAGCAGCGUAAGGAUCUGCAGAUGAACAUCCCCGCACUGCGCAAGCUCGACGGGAUGCUCCUUGUAAAGCUCUGCCACAUUCUUCUUUGAAAUCAUUUACGAGAAUGACAUGCGUGGAGAUACCUGAUGAAUUGCUAAUAUGCUAUGGCUGCACAUUUCCUGUUGUGGGGGCACAGAGCUAUCUUGACAGCUUCAGGGACAAGCAGGAGUUUUGGUACGUGUCGAAAGACGCAGAUGACUCGGAGAAGGGAGACGCGCCGAAGCAGGAUGACAAGUGGUGGCUCCCGACUGUCAGGGUCCCUCCUAAUGGUCUGUCGGACUCGUCGAGGAGGUGGCUUCUACACCAGAGGGAGCUCGUCGGCCAAGUCCAUAAGGCAACAAUGGCCAUCAAUGCUAAUGUUCUUAUGGAGAUGGAUGUUCCAGAAGCCUAUAUGGAGUCUCUGCCUAAGGUGACCCAUAUGAACACAGCAACAUUGCAUAACAUUUUUCUUUACUUCGGUUCACUGCAUUUAGAGGGAUCGAGACUCACUUUGACAGCAUCUUCUUUUUUUAUGCUUGAUAGAAUGGAAAGUCUAGCCUUGGAGACUCAAUGUACAAGCUUAUAACUGACGAAUAUUUUGACCCAGAAGAACUCAUAGCAUCAGUAGACUUGUCAGCCGAGUACAGCAUCGUUGAUCUGAAGAACCGAAUCGAAGCCUCGAUUGUCAUUUGGCAGAAGAAAAUGACGCAGAAGGAUGCCAAGAUGUGGGGGCAUGGUGUCAGUCAUGAGAAGCGGGGACGGUUUGAGGGGAGGGCGGAGAAUGUUCUUCUCCUCCUUAAGCACAGAUUCCCCGGAAUUUCUCAGUCAGCUCUGGACAUAAGCAAAAUCCAGUACAACAGGGUACUGGCAACCAUCUUCAAUUUUCCACUGUAUUUUCGGAUUUCCUACAGUACUUUAUUACUCAUGCUCAUUGCAUACAUUUUCUCGUUGUGAUUUUUUUGCAGGAUGUUGGCAGUGCCAUUUUGGAGAGCUACUCCAGGACUCUUGAGAGUCUAGCAUACACGGUUAUGUCUCGCAUCGAAGACGUUCUUCGCGCCGACUCCCUUGCUCAAGACCCCAAGAACGCGGAGGCGACGAGAAUGCCGAGCUUAUCAUCAGAUGACACAGACACGGUCGUCCAAGAUGCCAAGGACGAGGUGGAGAGGCUGGGAAGAAUGGAGCCUCUGAACUCGACACUAUUCGACUACGUGGGCCCACGGGACGGAGAUAUCGGGCCCAUGAUGUCGGAUUCACAGGAACCUCGGGGUGCAAAGCUGUCAAAGGUUUCGUCGAUCGCAACCAAGAGGUUCUCCUACCUAGAUAAGCUUGAGAAUUUGGGUGGAACAAGGAGCCCCAUAUCUAGACACUAGUCGCUGCCGUAGGGGAAAAGACGAUCAAUAUGGUGUUGAUGUUGCUGCAGAGACUCCGGGGAAAACUGCACGUAAAUAGCUCCGCAAAAACUGAGGGUGCAGCAUGCAUUGUGAGGUUUAUGUAAGCUUUCAAGCUUUCAGGCACCAAUACCUCCAAUUUGGUGCAGUUGCCAAGACAAUGUGAUGACGAUUCUCCUGCUAAAUUUACAUGAAAUAACCACAAGAUUCUGACACUGGACCUGAAAAUGGACCUCCAGAUUUUCUUACUGUACUUCUGUAGCAAAGUUUUGUGGUUCCAGUAAAGUGUUUGUUAUCUUAGACUUGACUUGCAGACCAUGCUUGGGUUCGGCUAGUGUUCUCCCCACGUACAAUUUAAGAGGGUAAUAACAUAUCACUGAACUUGGAGAUCGAUCUGUGUUAGCUUCUGGCGUUCUAGAUCGGCACUGUAAUAAGUAACUGUAACUGUACCAUGGCUCUAUGCAUUGGGAAAUUAAAACCACUCGUAUGAGUAAAUCAAUUUACAGGAACAAAUGAGCAGUAAAAAGCAUCCUUCCGGUUGCUGAUAGUACGUGCAGCUAGGCACGCCAUAUGAGUACAUACAACGAAGGACUUAACGUCCAGAUACGCAGAUCCAUGGUACACAAGCACAGGCAUAUGCAGGAACAGAUUCAGAGAGAGAGAGAGAGAGAAAGAAACUGAAACCAAAGCUUUAAUCAAAUCAGAUCAGAUCUUGCCGCGUGGGCCGGGGGUGGGGGGAAGCUGCGGCCCCUUCUUGAUGGGCAGCAGGUCCGGCGACGUGGUGGCGCCGAGGUAGGCGAUCAGGGACCCGCCGCCGAGGAGCAGGAACUUGAGCAGCAGGCCGCGCUUGGUGAAUGGCGCCGCGAAGGUCUGGAAGAACUUGCUCUGCAGCCCGUUGUAAGGGGACGGCGCGUCGGACCCGUACAG
rnacentral:lncRNA from 1 species